AUUGAACGCUGGCGGCAGGCCUAACACAUGCAAGUCGAACGAGUGGCGGACGGGUGCGUAAUGUCUGGGCAACUGCCUGAUGGAGGGGGAUAACUACUGGAAACGGUAGCCAAUACCGCAUACCAUCGGAUGUGCCCAGAUGGGAUUAGCUAGUAGGUGGGGUAAAGGCUCACCAAGGCGACGAUCCCUAGCUGGUCUGAGAGGGUGACCAGCCACACGGGAACUGAGACACGGGCAAGACUCCUACGGGAGGCAGCAGUGGGGAAUUUUGGACAAUGGGCGCAAGCCUGAUGCAGACAUGCCGCGUGUAUGAAGAAGGCCUUCGGGUUGUAAAGUACUUUCAGCAGGGAGGCGGUACCUACAGAGGAAGCACCGGCUAACUCCGUGCCAGCAGCCGCGGUAAUUC
rnacentral:rRNA from 1 species